GCUGGGAUUAGAGGCAUGAGCCACCGCACCUGGCCUCUGUUUCUUAUAUUUUUAAUGGAUGAUUAUUAGUAAGAUUGUUUAGAAUCUACAUAGGCUAGCUGUUCCCAGUGGGUGAAGUAAGCGGCAGUUAAUGUAGUACAAUUAAGAAAGUUCAGAAAAUUAGAUUUCUCUGUCCCUCUCUGCUCGUCUGUAACGGCUGAAAUUAUACAGUUAAAAGGUUUUUCCCCUUUUGGAUUAUUAAGAUAUUGUCCUCAUUUAGAUGUAUACAGUUCUUAAAAUGUAGCUUUUUUUUUCUUGUAAGUAAAAUCUAUUGAAAAAUAGAUAGGAUGAGUGCUACCCCCUACAAAUGAAGAUGUACACACUUACAUUCACUCAUUCAUUCAUUCACUCUCAUUUAUUAUUCAGUUAAUAUGGCUGGCUCUACUAAAGGCUCUGUGUUACACACUGUGGACCACAAGAAGAAGAGACAGAUUUGGAUCUCACCUGUAGAGUUUACAGCCUAGAGAAGAAGCCUAUGCUACCUUCUAUUGAGAGACAGACUCAAAGUCUGGGCCUAUCCUGGGAAACACAGAGGGAGAUAUGAGGCUACAUCGAACAUUCUGGGGUAACCAGGAGGCAGAUUGCAGAAAGGAUCUAAAGUCAAGGGAAGAAGCCUCUAUUACCUUCUGUUGAAAGACAGACUCGAGGUCUGGGCCUAUCCUGGGAAACACAGAAGGAAAUGUGAGGCUGAAUCGAACAUUCUGGAGUAACCAGGAGGCAGAUCGCAGAAAGGAUCUAACGCCAAGGCAAGGAGAGCAGCUCCCAGUGUGGCAAUGAGAGGAUGAAUAGAAACUUUGCCUACUUCAUUUGGGAGCAGGCAAGCCAUCCCUGCAGAAGAUUCCAGUUUUUCUCCUGCUCCUUGUCUAAAGUAGAACUUGUUGACAAAUGCCUCUCUCCGAAUUGCCCAACUGUCACUGGCAGCUCUAAUUACAGUGAAUUACCUCAUGCCAGCUGGUGUUAUUGCAAAGCAAACAUCAAGUAAGCUAAACAAACUAAAGGAAACGUGUCCUCAUUGAUCUUGCUCUGAUGGCAGUUUUCCUAAUUAGAAAAAAAAUGUAUCAAAAUAAUGAGCCUCUUCCCUCAUAAUCUUUUUACCUUUUGUCUGACUCAGAAAACAUAUUGAUUCAUAUUAAUAGUUUCUCUUCUUGAAAAUAACAGCAUAAAUGGGUCAUCUUCAACUUAAAAUAGUUUUAAAAAAAUCAAAACUUCACUUCCAAUUUAAUUUUUUGAAAUUAAGAAUGUACUUCCUAUAGAAAUAAUGCAAAUGGUAGGAAACCCCUUCCAAGCUAAUCCAUGAAGACAUUCUUAACCAAUAAAUGACUGAAAUAAUGAAAACUCACUAAGGCACAGUAUUGAUGUAACAAAGCUGAUUAAGUAAAAUACUAAGUUGAAAAUGACUUGUUUUACAUAUGGACAUAUACAUAUGUUUACAUAGUAUAUAUAAAAUUCUUUUCUCUAGAACUUAAAAUUCUAAAAUUUAGAAUUUAAAAUUCUUUAGAAUUUCUUCAGAAAUGCUCAAAUUCUUUAUUAAUUUUUUAAAUUUAUAGCUUCAAUAGUAAUGCUUAAAGAAAACUGACCUUAAGUUGAAGAGUUUAGGGAAUUAGAUUAAGAAUUUUGCAUAGAUGAUAGGCAAGGGUUAUUGAUUGUCUUGACAAGGACUGGGAGAUUAAAAGAGGAAAUGGAGUGAAGAGGAUGUAUAUUGAUUGGUGAAAAGAAAAUGUCUGAAGCAAAAUGAGCUGAUCUGUACAUGGCAUAUAGAUGGCAUAAGGCCAUCAGGAAUGGAGGGCAGUGGGACUGAGAUGUCAUCCCAGGCGGUUCCCUGAGCAUCCUCCUUACUCUAGGCUCCACUGGCCAGGAUCAGCUUGUGGCUAUCCAACUAGGGAAAGGUGACACCAACUCCAGGGGGGUGGGCAGAGGAGGAGUCCAAGUGCAAAAACCUUUAAUAAGUGUCACAUCCUCACAAAUCAGAUACCUACCACUCAGCAAGUAACUGUAUAACAUGACUAGAGUGUAUCAAAAUACCUUAAAUAAGGAAGGGCCAAAUGACUGAUAAGGAAUAAGGGCCCUGGAGGGACCAAAAGUGAUUUUUUUCUUGACCCUCUCAGGAUAUCUCAUAAAUAGAGAUAAGGAUGAUGGCAUUAGAAUAAGAAAAAUAAAAAUGACAUUGUACAGACAAAAAGAAGAAAUACUUUUUUCCCCCGUGUCUCUCCGCUACAAGUUAAGGGACUCUGAAUAGGAAAUCUCAAAGAAGCCCAUAGAUUAAAGAACAAACUGAGUAAGCGCCAUGAAUAAUCCAUUUUCCUAUAAAACCUAUGAAGACUUGGCAUGGGUUCUACAGCAAAGGUGCCGAAUAAGGUAACCCAGGAAAAGUCCCUGUUCCCCAGUUUUGUGGCUAAUGAGGGUUUACAUGAGCAUGUCCAGCAUAUUAACUUCAUGGAGACUUUAGUCCUCUCUUGACAUUACCACUUAGUUUUUAAAAUAUAUUAUUUCCAAAUAUUAAUUCUAUGCAAAUUCUGAUAACUUAAUGAUAGAGUUCCUUUCCUACACCUUAGAUAUUGCCAGCAUAGGGAAUGAAACCAACAUAUGCAACUUUGAAAUGCAUGUAAAUGUUUACUGCUCCAUUAUAGGCCUUAAGCAUUAAAGAAAAAUUUAAAUGAAGCCAAAAGAAAACAAAGGAGUGCUAAUCAUGGCUUAGUUGUCCUUUAAAAAUAAGUGGAUUGAAACUAACAAGUAGAUAAUAAUUCUCUAUUUGCAAAGUGAAGCAGUAUACAAUUCUGUCCCUUUUCUUUUUGCAGAAAUUCAAGGUGAUCUAUAGAAACAACACGGAUGUUGUUGCAAAUACUCUGUGGCAUAUUCUGGCCUUUAAAUAAUACAGGUCACAUUACUAGUGGUGAGUCAACACCCACAGAUCCUCGUUGGAUUUGCUGCCAGUGAUUCUUCCAUUUUUCCUGAAACUGUCUACUUCUUCGGCUACCAGGAGCACUAUGUGCUUUUGUUUUUCUUCUCAUCUCUGAUAUUUUCUCUGUACUCAGCAUUAAUGAAUAUAAAUAUGUGGAUUGUAGUGAAUUUGCCAGAUUUAUUUUAAAACUUGAGAAACCAUAAAUGUGAAAUGAGAGGUCCAAACUCCUCUUUAACUGUGAUAAAAGAAGACUGAAAUCAAACAACUGAAACCAUGAGCCAAAUCUAUUAGCACUGAACUCCUCCAACAGCGUGAUGUCACAGGCCCCUGGAAGAAUCGACAUGGUUGGCAUUACUCUGGUCAUUUAGUUGCCAUGCAGCCAAGCAAAGGCAAGUGACGAAAAUAGUAUUUUUUAGUAAGGUAGCGCUAUACGUAGUUACACUAAAUCAAUGACGAGCAAAUGGCAGGGAGUCUUCCUGUAUGGGGUUUCAGUUACAUUUACCACUUUAUCACUUUGUCUAGCAAAGUGUUCAGCACUCAUCAAAUAUGUGUUGAAUAUUUUGAACACUGAUGACUUGUUCAAAUGGGUUUGCAGUUAUUUCCUGCUUAACCAAAGUUUAAGUCAAUUAAGGUUGAGUCACAAUGAAUUUUUUAAAAGCUGGUUGAUCUUUCAUUUUUUCCUUUUUGCAAAGAAAAUUCUUAAUUUUCACUAUUAUGAAAGGCAUUUCAAGUGUAUUUAAGAGAAGCAAACUUGGACCAAAAGGAGAGAAUAUGUAUUUUAGCCUAAGAUCUGUCGGUUUUUGUGAAGUAAGACAAAUCAUGUAAUAGUAUCUAAAGGUUUAUGCUUCAGUUUCCUACCGUGUAAUAACACUGCUCUUGUUAUUUCAUAUCAUUGUUAUGAAAAUGAGAGCAUAAUUAUGAAAAUUCUUUGAAAAACUAAUAAUCCCUAUACAGAUACAGGACUUAUAGUCUAGAUAUAGAAGUAUAUUAUACUCCUGGGGACAUAAAAUGGACAUGAGGGAAACCAUCACAUUUGGUUGUCUAUUCCACACAUACAGACACACAUUUUAGUAUAUGCAGAAUGUGAUGCUAGGCACUUCAGGGCAUGCCAAGGUGGGUGGGACAUGUCGUUCUAGUCCCAAAAGCUGACCAUUGUGUAGAGAACAAAGAAGUAGAGCGAUGAGACCUAAGAAGGCUGUGGAGGAGAAGGUCAGAGAACAAAGACACACACACACACACACACACACACACACACUUAAGCUUUAAAAAGAGAAAAUGGUUUUACAUUAAUGGAUCAUUAAAGUAGAGUAUUUUCCCCUUAUCUGUAAAGGAUAUAUAUUUUUUUCAGAUGAAGUCUCUCUGUUGCCCAG